GCCGCGCGGCCGGGCUGCUCCUCCUUCCUCCCCCGGGUCCCCGCGGCGAUGUUCAACCGCGCUGUGAGCCGGCUGAGCAGGAAGAGGCCGCCGUCAGCUCUGAGAAGGCAGAGGGAUUCUGGUCUGCGUGGAACUUCUCGGUGGACCCCAGAGCAUGGAACACAUCCAUGACAGUGAUGGCAGUUCCAGCAGCAGCCACCAGAGCCUCAAGACCACGGCCAAGUGGGCGACCUCCCUGGAGAGUCUGCUGGAAGACCCCGAAGGCGUGAAGAGAUUCCGGGAAUUUUUGAAAAAGGAAUUCAGUGAAGAAAAUGUUUUGUUCUGGCUAGCAUGUGAAGAUUUUAAGAAAUUGCAAGAUAAAAAGCAGAUGCAGGAAAAGGCCAAGGAGAUCUACGUGACCUUUCUGUCCAACAAGGCCUCAUCCCAAGUCAACGUGGAGGGGCAGUCUCGGCUCAACGAAAAGAUCCUGGAAGAACCACAUCCUCUGAUGUUCCAGAAACUCCAGGACCAGCUUGCAGAUCGCCGUGGCUGCCAGCACACAGAUCUCCACCUGUCUUCACAUGGCCACCUCCCUGUGUGUCUCAGUGUGUCCUUUUCUGAAGAGGACACCAGUCCUUGGAUGGGGACCCACCCUAAAUGCAACGCGGCUUUAUCAUUGCAUCCUUUACCAGCCCUAUUUCCAAAUAAAGUCACAUUUUGAGAUUCCAGGUGGACAUACAUUGGAGGGACAUUCUUCAACCAGCUACUGACCUUUAAAGAUAUUUAUUUUCCUCUUAUGCACAUGAACACACAGUUGAACAUACCUGGGGUCAUUGUUUUUAGAUUUAAUGUCAUUGGUAUUUAAUAUUCAGUCAGUUAACACUCAUGGGUAGUUUUGCAAGCUCAAUUCUUUUCAGACCUUAUUUUUGAUGACUGUGUAUUCUGCCAUGGGAGUGGCCAGUGCCUGGUGGUGUGGGCUGGGGAGCUACCCAGCUAGAGUUGGCACCCCUCACAUCCCUUGCUUACUGUUGAAAUGUGGCCCCACCACCACCAGUUCAUAUGUUGAAGUCCUAUCCCCCAUUACUUUAGAAUGUGACUGUAUUUGGAGAUGGCCCAUAAGUGGGUGUAAUUAAGUUAAAUGAGGUCAUUGGAGUGGACCCUAAUCCAACCUGACUUGAGUGUUUAUAAGAAGAGGAGAUUCAGACCCAGACACAUACAGGGGGAUGACCAUGUGAGGACGGAGAAAAGAUGACCAUCUACAACCCGGGAGAGAAGCUUCAGAAGAAACCAUCCCUGUUGGCAUUUGGACUUCUGGCCUUCAGAACUAUCUUCAACCUCAUGAAGUACGACAGCUACAGUCGCUUCUUAAAGUCUGACUUGUUUUUGAAAUACAAACGAACCGAGGAAGAGGAGGAAGAUGAACCCGAUGCUCAAACUGCAGCUAAACGAGCUUCCAGAAUUUAUA